UGACCGUUGAGUGGUUGUGUUUUCGCUAUCGAGUGAAAUGUCUCAGGUGUAUGAAAACAUCUUUCGUGACGCUCUGAAAGAUUUCAGAGUUUCAGAGGAUGGCCUGAUUUCAGGCUAUUGUAAUUCGUUGGAGGAGGUAGAAACACUUCUCAAUCAGCUGAAAACUGUGGGGUUUUCAUACUGCGUGAGAAGUAGUCGUUUUAAAGAGCCAUCUUCAGAUGUUAUGAAAAGUAAAACAAAGCAUUUCUUCAAGCAAAUGCAGGGACAUGUCCCUAUCCCCUUUUUUGGUUGUGCAUUUGCAGUGGCGAGUGUGUGGUCGAGGCACUGUGUUUUGGGGCCAAAAUACUAUAAAAGUAAAGAGUCUAGUGUACCUGAACACUUGGAAGACCAUGUGACUCCUCGUAAGAGACUGAGGAUCAUGGAUACUAGAAAAUCCAACUGCCCAGCAACUUUAAAUAUGAAGUGUAUAAGGGUGUAUCCUGAUUACAGUAUGCACUCAGCAACUGAACACAGGGAUACCAAGGCAAAAGUUCUUGCAAGUCUACAGAAAGAUUUGGCAUUGCCAUGCCCGCCUAAGAGCUAUUUACGUUAUUAUUUGACUGCUUCCCCAGCAAGUGCACACACACAUGCUACUGAAAGUGUUGAAGCAAGUGGGUACAUACAUCCUUCACUUGUAAAGGAAGUCAAAAACUUAGUACUCAGUGGCAUGACAUCUCUCAAAGUCAUUAAGUUGGCUCUAGACAGAUUUGUUGAAAUCAAUUUCACUGGGACACACAUACCAGGUCAAAUGAAUACUACCUUUUACCCCACAGAGAAAACUAUUUACAGUCACAUUUAUCGGACCCUUUAUGGUACAAAUAAAGUAUUGUUUGACGAGACUAGACUGCAGAAUCAGGUUGAUGAGUGGCACAAAGACUCAAGCAAUCACAUGAUUUAUUAUAGACAUUGUACGGGAGCCAAUGGAGAAGGGAAACCAUUACUUUUUUGCUAUCAGAGCAGUUGGCAGAGAGAUCUUUUGAAGAAGUAUGGGGGUAGUUGUUUGUUAGAUGCAACAUACAAAACAACAACAUAUGAUAUUCCUUUAUUUUUUAUAGCUGUGUGAAGAGUAAUGUGGGCUAUUUGGUUGUCGGUUUGUUUUUCAUUCAGAUUGAAAAUGCAAGGUCCAUUCAUGAAGCACUAGACAUUUUCAAGGACUGGAACAAGGAUUGGAAUCCCCUCUAUUGGGUUACUGAUUUCUCGGAGUCAGAGAUAAAUGCAAUUGAGCAAGCAUUCCCUCAGACAAAAGUUUACUUGUGCCUUUUCCAUCGAAAACAGGCAUGGGGAAGAUGGUUGAAAAAAAAAGGAUAAUCUACGUGUACCAAAUGACAUGAAGACAUUUAUGGAUAUGUGGCAAGAAAUUUCAGAAUCACCAACAGAGAGAGAAUUUAGAGAUCGCGUAGCAGAGUUGCGAACGCAUGAGGUUUCUCGGAGAAAUGAGCGUGCAUGGCCAUACUUUCAACAGCAAUGGCUAACGGUAUGUGAAAGAUGAGUGAAAGUGUAUAAGGACAAGGGCAGAUUUGCAACUAUUGACACUACAAAUGGAGUUGAAGCCAUGAACAAGAUUGUAAAACAUUUUUUCCUAAAACACAAUUCAGACAGGACUUUAACUGGGGUUACUAAGGUUCUAAUAAACCAGUUUCUUCCAAGCCUAAUUAGAAAGUACUGUCUGCAGAAUUCUGCCAUCAAAGCUUAUAACAAAGAUGUUCCACUGUUUUUGCAUAAAAAAACAAACUAGUUUGUGAAACAUGUCAUGCAGUGAUAUGCAUCAGCAAAAGUUGAGUUAACUGCAAGAUCAGUGAGUAGGAGAUCGGAUGGUUCAUUUUGUGUGGAGAGUGCAAAGUCCAAAAACUGUAAUUAUGUUGUAAACUUUGAUAUACCAGAUUGCACAUGUGAAGAUUUUCGAAGAUAUAAAUACCCAUGCAAGCAUUUCUGUGCAAUCUUUAUUUUUUACCCAGAGUGGGGUUUUGAUAAAAUGCCAGAAAGUUAUAAGACUAGUCCAUUAAUCUGUCUUGAUGAAAUGUAUGGGGUGGGCUUUAGAAGUGGCUCUUCAGUAAUUUCAAAUGAAGGCAGUAGUAGUGACGAAGCUGUUGAGGAGGCAGUUGAAGCAGCUGAGGAGGCUGUCGAGGUUGAGGAGGCUGUCGAGGUUGAGGAGGCUAUCGAGGCAGCAAAUACAGAUGGUGUUGUUCAAACCCAGAAUAUUCCUUUGCAGCAGUUUGAAGCAAGGGAGCUGUGUAAACAGAUUUACAAUCUCACAUACAACUGCAGCAACAGCGAAACAUUACAAAAAGUACUUGAAUCACUGAGCAACUGUGUGCAAGAUUUGCAAUUAGCAAAUCCUGAAGUUGGUGGUCUCCCAUUGGCAGUGCCAUCAACUUCCAAACAAUAGCGAAGAACGAUGCCAAAAGCCUUAAAAGAUCUGUCUUAAACACAUUAUAACUUCCCAUUUGAAGGGUAAGAAAUGACGGUUUAUUUGAAUUUUAGAUAGCUCUUUGUCUAUGUAAAAUACAAAUAAGCUCCGUCAUUUCUGAUCCUCGAGAUGGAAUGCUAUGAGGUCUUUAUGUUGGUCUCUGCUUUUAAACUUUGUUGCACAUUUGAAUUUCGAAGUAGCAGUAGAUAAAAUAUUAUAAAAAGGAUAGUUGCUACAUUUGUGUGUGUGUUUGUGAGUGAGUGUGCGCGCGCGCUUUUGAAAAGGCCCUUGUUGCCCGAAAGAUAAGUCGGACAGUCUUUUUGUUGUGCCUUUCUGUGACUCAGCAUCUUCACCAUUUGGUGAGCAGCAACAACUAUCCUUUUCAUAAUAUUGUUACAUUCCAUCCUGGAUUUUUCGUUGUUCAUCAGAGAAAAGAUUUUUCUGAGGAAUUAAACUAGAUGGUAGUGUAGAACUUGCAAACUUUUUAAAAUAUGAAGUAAAAGAUUUUAAUUUUAAAUUAGGUUAAUUCAAAUAUGGGACAAUGUUGAGAAUUGAAAAGGUGGAAAAAAUAAAUAAGAUAUAUCUUAGUGGCAUUGAGAUGUCGUAUGACUGAUGGAGGAAAGAUUUUGCAUUUCUUUUUCCAAGUAAGAAUGCACUUGCUCUCACUUGCUUCAAUACAUGUCUAGUGAUUCAUGUGAAACAGAGAAAAAGAUAGACUGCCCUGUUAAUGAACAUGAGAUUGCCCAGUAUCACUCUGACAGAAGAGUAUGGUGUUUCCUUGAUAUGGUAUCUGGUCAGCAAUGUCAUUGGGACCAAAUGAAAGUUACUGCAGAUACCACACAGAAGCAAUUACUGUUACUGGAAUACCAGUAAUGUUUAUUAAAUUCAGUUGUAAAGUAGUUCUGGGCAUUGCAGCUGGUGAGCAAUGUCAUUGGGCACCAAAAGAAGUUCAGUUAUGAUGGAUUUCUGGCCUUCAGUCCAUGGGAAAAUUCACACCAGAUUGCAUCAAGACUGUUAUAUUCCAAGGAUAUCUUGGGAGAUUGAUAGUAUUCCUGAACGAAAACAAUCCAUAUAGUAUUGCACGUGUGUAUCAAACUGCCAUUUGUUGUGGCACGUAAAUGUUUGCAACUUGAUUGUAAUUUUUGAACAGUUUCUCAACAAUCCAAGAAUUUCUUGUAAUGAGAAGUAGACAUUGUUGCUUGGGUAAAGGAAAUACAAAUCACGGUCAAUAUAACUACCUUAUUAACUUUCCACAGAGAAAUAUUUUUCACUACUGCUACUUAAAAAUUCAAAUGUGUGACAAAGUUUGCUUACAGAACUUGGCAUAAAGAUCUCCCUUAUUUGUAUUUUUUAGGUAGCUCUUAUUGUUUGAUCCUUCAAAUGGAAUGCUGUGACCUCCAUGUGAUCUAUUCCUUAGUAGUUAAUUAUCCAUUAAGGCACAAAUAUAUGAACAUUACAAUGAGAGGGGUCUUUAUGCCAGGCCCUGUAAAAGUAAUGGCAUCUUACUUAAUAUUAUUGUUGGGAAUUUGAUGGCACAGCUGUGGGGAGACCACAAAUUUCAGGGUUUGCUAACUGCAAAUCUGGCACACAGUUGCUGAGUGAUUCAAGUACUUUUCAUAAUGUUUCACUGUUGAUACAGUUGUAUGUGAGAUUAUAAACCUGUUUGAACAACACCUUCACUUCAAAUUGCUGCAAAGAAAUGGUUACGGUAUCAGUGUGAUGCUCUAUGUGUGUUUCCUCAACUGUGUCCUCAUUGCUACUGUCUUCAUGUGAAAUUACUGCGGACACACUUCUGAAACCAAACCUGUACAUCUUGUGAAGACAGAUUAAUGGGCUAUUCCUGCAGCUUUCUGGUAUUUUAUCAAAACCCCACUCUGGAUAGAAAAUAAAGAUUGCACAGAAAUGCUUGCAUGGGUAUUUAUAUAUCUCAAAAUCUUCACAUGAGCAGUUUGGUAGAGCAAAGCUUACAACAUAAUUAGUCUUUGAACAUUGUACUCUCCAUACAAAACAUUGUCCAAGUUCACAUUCACCAAUCUUGCAGUUAAUUCAACUUUCCCUGGUGCAUAUCACUGCAUGACAUGUUUCACAAACUUGCUUUUUUUUUAAAAAAAAUGAAAAAACAGUGGAACAUGUCUGUUAUGAUUUGAUGGCAGAAUUCUGCAGACAGUACUUUCUAAUUAGGCUUGGAAGGAAUUGAUUUCUUAUAUCCCUAGUAGCCCCAUUGAAGGUCCCAUCUUUGUUCCAUUUUAGGAAAAAAAAUGUUUACAAUCUUGUUCAUGGCGUCAACUCCACUUGUAAUGUCAAUGGUAUCAAAAUUGCCCUUGUCCUCAUAAGCUUCCACUCACUUUUCAUGUAUCAAUAGCCACUGCUGUUAAACGUAUGGUGAUGCAUAUUCGUUUCUCUGAGAAGCCUCACUAUCUCUUCUGUAUGAUCUGUAAAUUCUCUGUUGGUGAUUCUGAAAUUUCUUGCCACAUGCCCAGAAAUCUCUUCAUGUCAUUUGGUAUUUAUUCAGCCAUCUUCCUCAAACCUGUUUGACUGAAAAGGCACAAGUAAACUUUUGUCUGAGGAUAUGCUUGAUCAGUUGCGUUUGUCUCAGAUUAUAAGAAAUCAGUAACCCAGUAGGUGGGAUUCCAAUCCUUGAAAAUGGCUAGUGCUUCAUGAAUGGAUCUCGCAUUUCCAACUUGAAUGAAAAAGAAAACCAAAUAAUCCACAUUACUCUUUACAGCUAUAAAAAAAUAAAGGCAUAUCAUGUGUUGUUGUUUUGUAUGUUGCAUAUAACAACUAUCCCUGUACUUCUUCAAAAGAUCUCUUUGCUAACAGCUCUGACAGAAAAAAGUGAUGGUUUCACUCCUCCAUUGGCACCUAUACCAUAUUUGUAAUAAAUCAUGUGAUUGCUUUAUUCCUUGUGCCACUCGUCAGCAUGAUUCUGCAAUCUAGUCUCGUCAAACAAUGCUUUAUUUGUACAUUACUAGUUCCAAUAUGUGUGAAUAUAAUUUUUUUCAGUGGGGUAAAAUGUAGUAUUCAUUAGACCUGGUAUGUGUGUCCCAGUGAAAUUAUCAAUAAAUGUAUCUAGAGCCAAAUUAUUGGCUGUAUGAUGUCAUUCCAUCGUGCACCUGAAUUUGUAUUUCCUUUACAAGCUAUUGUUAGCAUGUGUGUGUGCUGGUUUGCUGGAGAAGCAGAGAGAUAGUGUUUCAGCUAUCUUUGAGACAGUUAAAGGAGGUGCUUUAGAAAUGAGUGUCCUGAUUGAUAUGAAAAACAGUUUUCAAAUUUUCUGUACAAACUAUAAACAGUUCCUCAGUUGGUGAUUGUGGAAGAGAUUGCCAUAGCCACAGUAUUGAUCCACUGUCAGGUGGUAAACCUAGGAUUUCCUUCCAGUAUGAGCCAAGUGAAGUAAAACUGUGGUUGGAGAAAUGUUUUAUAUUCUUAAACUGAGUAUUUGUAACCCAUUAUGGUGGAUUGCAGUUCAUGUGUCAACACUUAAAAAUGUUUAGUUCUUCACUGAUGACACUUGAUACAAUUUCAAUUUUUAAGGCUAUUCUGUGUCAAGUUAAAUUUUGAAUUAUCCAUUUAAGCUUAUUUUUUGCUGUGUGGCACAUGGAUUUAUGUUCAUGUAAUAUUUUUUACGUUGAUUGUAGUAAGGUGUAAUAAUAUGUAA